rnacentral:rRNA from 1 species
AGAGUUUGAUCCUGGCUCAGAGCGAACGCUGGCGGCGUGCGUAACACAUGCAAGUCGAACGCGCAGCAUUCUGUAGCAAUACAGGGUGUGGGCGCGUGGCGAACGGGUGCGUAACACGUGGAUAACCUUCCUUCAGGUGGGGAAUAACCCAGUGAAAAUUGGGCUAAUACCGCAUAACAUGACGAUGGCACAUGCUGUUGUCUUCAAAGGCGCAAGUCGCCAGAAGAGGGAUCCGCGGCCGAUUAGCUUGUUGGCGAGGUAAUGGCUCACCAAGGCAUUGAUCGGUAGCCGGACUGAGAGGUUGACCGGCCACACUGGAACUGAGACACGGUCCAGACUCCUACGGGAGGCAGCAGUGGGGAAUCUUGCACAAUGGACGAAAGUCUGAUGCAGCAACGCCGCGUGGGGGAGGAAGCUUCUCGGAGUGUAAACCCCU